GCUCACUGAGGGGCACAUUCUGAGUAGAAUCAACACCAGGAGCAAUCACUGUCAAGGAAGCAUCUCUCACUAAUAGUCUGUAGAACUCUCCUAAACAGAGAUCUCUUGAAUCUCACAUUUUCACAUUUUCCCAAUUAGAAGACUGGGCAUACUCUGGCACAUUCCUUCCUGCUCCUCGGGGAAGAUCUUCCAGAAUAUAACUCUCAGCUUCCUCACUGCCUGGCCAUGUUCUCAGCGACCAUUCUGCUGCUUGGAAUGCUCUUCACAGUGAGAGGAACCAGAGCCCAGUCAGUGACCCAGCCUGACGACCACAUCAUUGUCUCUGAAGGAGCCCCUCUGGAGCUGAAGUGCAGCUAUUCCUAUACUGGAACUCCUACUCUCUUCUGGUACAUCCAGUACCCCAGCCAAGGCCUCCAGCUUCUCCUCGGGUACUUUUCAGGGCCCACCUUGGUUAAAGGCAUCAAAGGUUUUGAGGCUGAACUUAAGAAGAAUGAAACUUCCUUCCACCUGAGGAAACAAUCAGCCCAUUUGGGGGACUCAGCUGUGUACUUCUGUGCUCUGAGAGACACAGUGGCUGAGACUGCAGGGGGAGCUGAACACAAACCUCAUGAGACACUGGAGUUUUCAGAGACUCAAGGAUACAGCCUGACCUGUUUUUAUCAAGGUCUCUCGUUGGAUGAAAGUGAGCAGGAUGGGGAGCAGAGCCCUGGAGAGUUCUUGUCUCUUGAGGAUAAAAAGGAACUUCAAAGUAUUCCUUCCUUUACCACUGGGACAUGUUAAACAAGACCUAGAACAGAGAAACAUGUAUGGAUAUUCGUCUUCUGCUUGGAGAUACUGCAUUCUAGAGGUUCAGGAUUCUAAUUUAAUGUGACCCAUACUGACUUCUGAUGUUUCACCUUCUGAACUCACCUCCAACAUGCCCUUCCCCCUACCUUUUUCUUUUCCAUUGAUAGCACUUCCAUUCUUUCAGUAUCUCUGGUCAUAACCUCAGUUGUCUUUGACUCUUCUUUUUCUCUCACUGCUUACAUCUGUCAAAUAAAUGAAUAGAAACUUCAUUAAAUUGGACUUGAGAGGCCAAAAGGAGGAGCUCUCAAAUGCUAUGUCAAUAGCAGAGCCCAACAGGAAGA